rnacentral:rRNA from 8 species
GACUGCGGAAGGAUCAUUG